GGUAUAGCAUCUGCAGACGAACGACCGCGACUUGUUUUAAACACGCGGGGCCGAUGCGGUGGUGGUGGCUCGUCCGCGCCACACGUCUCGGUCUCGAGUCGGGGCGAAUGCCCCGCAAACAACGAACCCCGGCGCGGAAUGCGCCAAGGAAAACGAAAUAGGUUGGGCGUCCUAUCCCUUCCCCGUUCGCGGUGCGUGGGGAUAGGUUGCGACCGCUUACGAAAUAAAAACGACUCUCGGCAACGGAUAUCUCGGCUCUCGCAUCGAUGAAGAACGUAGCGAAAUGCGAUACUUGGUGUGAAUUGCAGAAUCCCGUGAACCAUCGAGUCUUUGAACGCAAGUUGCGCCCGAAGCCGUCAGGCCGAGGGCACGUCUGCCUGGGCGUCACGCAUCGCGUCGCCCCCCCACCCGGGGCCCAACCCUGGGACGUCCGGGUUGGGCCUGGGGGGCGGAAUGGGGUCUUCCGUGGCUUGCUGUGCGGUUUACCGAAAAGCGUGUCCGCACCAUCGAAGUCACGACAAGUUGUGGGUGGUCCAUUCAACUAGCGUGCUGUCGUGCGUCGACCUGUCGUGCAACCGGGACAGAAAAUGUACCCUCACGCUGCCGUCGCCGAGCUUCGAAGCUAGGUGCCUCGCGCUACGACCGCGACCCCGGUCAGGUGGGAUACCCGCUGAGU
rnacentral:rRNA from 1 species